rnacentral:rRNA from 1 species
CCCUUAGACGUUCUGGGCCGCACGCGCGCUACACUGACGAAGGCAACGAGCUUUCCUUUACCGAAAGGUACGGGUAAUCUUUUGAAACUUCGUCGUGCUGGGGAUAGAUCCUUGCAAUUUUUGAUCUUAAACGAGGAAUGCCUAGUAAGCGCAAGUCAUCAACUUGCGUUGAUUACGUCCCUGUCCUUUGUACACACCGCCCGUCGCUACUACCGAUUGAAUGGUUUAGUGAGGCCUUCGGAUCCGCGACUCGUUUUGUGGAGAAGUUGGACAAACUCAGUCAUUUAGAGGAAGUAAAAGUCGUAACA